GAUGAAGAACGUAGCGAAAUGCGAUAAGUAGUGUGAAUUGCAGAAUUCAGUGAAUCAUCGAAUCUUUGAACGCACAUUGCGCCCCAUGGUAUUCCGUGGGGCAUGCCUGUUCGAGCGUCAUUUACCCCUUCAAGCUCCGCUUGGUGUUGGGCGUCUGUCCCGCUUCGCGCGCGGACUCGCCCCAAAGGUAUUGGCAGCGGUCGUGCCAGCUUCUCGCGCAGCACAUUGCGCUUCUCGAGGCACCGGUGGGCCCGCGUCCAUCAAGCUCACCCCCCCAGUUUGACCUCGGAUCAGGUAGGGAUACCCGCUGAACUUAAGCAUAUCAAUAAGCGGAGGA
rnacentral:misc_RNA from 1 species